rnacentral:rRNA from 1 species
GGAUACGGCCAUACUGCGCAGAAAGCACCGCUUCCCAUCCGAACAGCGAAGUUAAGCUGCGCCAGGCGGUGUUAGUACUGGGGUGGGCGACCACCCGGGAAUCCACCGUAUCCUUUUUG